rnacentral:misc_RNA from 1 species
UUUUAGUUUUUUUGCAAAAAAAUAGCCAAAACGAAAAAAUAAUUCACAUGUACACAUGCAAAAUAAAAAUAACCAAUUUUGGUUAAUAAUAACCAAAGUGGCAACACUGGCAACAAUAUACGUUUGGCAAAUCUAAUAAUGCAGUCUAUAUACACACAUACAUAAAAUAAGUAAUGUUUAACUGACAUUGUUACAGAACAAAAUGAAACAAGAAUAGAAAAAAAAGAACAAAACGAAACAAGAUUUGAGAAGCAAAGAAAAAAGAAGGUAACAACAUCUUCAGUUUUGUUUGAUCUAUGCGACAGUAAAGAAGUCAAGUGUUUUGUAAGAAUUAAUGUGUUAUAUUAUUUAUAUAAAGUGAUUAUUUAUAUUGAAUUGGUGUUGAAACAAUAUUUAAAAUAAAAAAAAUGUGUAGCUUCAUGCUCCAAGUCAAAUGCUAAUGAUACUACAGAUGUAAGUGAGAAUGGAAAACAACAUGAAAAUCUUCCAAGUGGACCAAGUUUAGAAAAUAUUGAUUCUGAUUGUGUUGCAGAGAGUAGUGUUUCAUAUAGUGAACAAUAUAAUGUUUUGUGUAAUUUUGCUAGUAUUGAAUUUCAAAUUUGUUCAAUAUUUCCAACGGAAGAAUUGGCAAGCGGGGAAAGCUGUACAAUAAAAUACACAACAUCAAACGAUAUAACAAAAUAUUGAAAGUGUCGAGGAUCGAUCUGGCAGCGACUUGAUCGACCUCGACUAAGCCGCAUCGGCCACUUAUUCAGCUGCGGUGUAAGUACGUCCCAAGCCAUACUUUCGCGACUAAGGAGGACGAAGAAGUCAGUCUUCGACUUUAUCCGAGAGCCAGCGGCCAUAAAAACUUAAAUAACAAAAAAAAACCAAACAUUUAAAUAAAACAAUUUAAACAAAACAACAAAUGUUUACUAAAAAAAUAACAAACAAACUUCUGCACUAACAAAGAAAACAUUGAAACGAAAUUAAAAAAAAAAAUAAAAAACAAGUGAAGGGUAUAAAAAAGAACAGUGGUUCCCACACACACAUAUAAAUAUAUACAUAUAUAUUUACAAAAAAAAAAUAAAAAUACAAGAAUUAUACAAUUAACUAAACAAAUAAAUACUGAAAUACAACACGAACAAACACCUUUUUUAUAUUUAUUUUCCUGGUCUCCACAGCAAUUGAAAGAGAAGUAAGUAUAUUUCAGGUUCCUUGAAAUUAGUACAAAUCGAAAUAAAUCUAUUUCAUUUGUUACAUCUUUUGUAACAAAUCUACAAUUUUGUUUGAGUUAUCCAAACAAAACAACAAAUUCCCAAUUGUUCCAAUUGGAAAAUUGUUUAUGGUCCUUUUGAAACCGUCAAAGUACCGGCAAAAUAAAAAUUUUUAACUUCAUUAAAAUAAAAAAUAAAUUUUCAAUUUAUUCCCUUUAUUUUGCAAAUCGUUUAUUACAACAAAGAUUUAUUUCGAUUUCACAUUAUUUUGUUCUUAAAAUAUUGUGUGUAGAUUAGUACAUUUGGUGGUGGUUUUUUCUUUUAUUUACUUGCAUUAUUCUCAUUAAAAUUCUCUUGA